CUGGUGGAAUGCUGUGUUUUGGCUUAGGAUGAGAAGAGUGUUGAUAACACCCCGAUGCUUUAAUUGUUGCAGAGCAGUGCUUAUACUAAGCCAAGGACAUCUCAGCUUUUUGCUCUGUCCUGCCAAUUCCUGGAAUUGUUUGAGGCCAGAUUGGAUGGGACUUGGAACAACCUGGUCUAGUGGGAGGUUUCCCUGACCAUGGCAGGGGGUUGGAAUUAGAUGCUGUUGAAGGUCCCUUUCAACCCAAACCACUCUAUGAUUCUGUGGUUCUAUAACAGGCUGCAUAAACUCUAAAGAACACUCGAGAAGAGUUCACCUCUUUUAGAAGGCAAAAUGAAUACAAACUGGAGUGGAUGAGGCCGGCAGCCAGGCUGCUCUCCCACCAGAUGGCAGCAGCAAUUCUGCUCUUUGCAUGGCAGGAGUGGUAGGGACAAAGGUGCGUGUGCCUCUGCCUCCAUGUCCGGACAUGUAAGCAGGUCACCCUGCCCUGAGCUGAGGAUGCACGCAGUGGACCUGGACAAGGGCACACACAAGAGGACACAGUGUUUGGGGAUGGGGGGAGCACAAGCUGCCAUACGAGCUUUCUGACAGGCAGUGCUGUGACAGCAGAUAACCAGCCUAUCUGACUUGCAAGGAGACAACCAAAAGCAACCACAUGGACAGACACUCUGGAGCAGUUGUAAUUUGCAGAAUGGCUGUUGCAUAGGAAUGGGCAUCUACUUCCUGAUAGUUACUGAUGCACCAGAGCUGCUGACGCCUCUCCAGAACCUCAAAUCAAGUGCUCUAUGCUGUUGUGGGAGUAUUUGCAGCAAACAGCAGAUAAGACAACAAACCACAGGUAAAGAAAGGGUUGUAGACUAAAAGAUAAAAAAAAAAAAGCGGAUGCUAUGGCAGGGACAUGAGUCUGAAAGUGGGCAGGAGGGAGUCAAAGUACAUGACAUGAGAUUCCUGAAGUCCCUGGGAUGCAGCUAACUACCAAAACCACUGGUGCCUUUCACCCUUUUCCGGUUUCUGCUUCUUCUGCUAAUUCUUUUGCUGCUGCUAAACCUAAACCACAGCAGAGCUCUUCCCUCCUACACAGUGCUCAUAAGUGGUUUUCAAGACUAUGGAGCAAGGCUUUGCAGCUUCCUGGCAGAGGUUGUACUGCUGCGAAACGCUGUGCCAGCCUGGAAAGAAGCAGCUCUGACCCACUCCAUAUCCUGUUAUGAACCCCAUACCUGGCACAGUGAGUUCUACCAGCAAAUAAACAUUUUUAACUCGU